UACAGAGGUCUCAAGCGUUGUUCGGAUUCAUUGGGCGUAAAGGGUGCGUAGGCGGCGCGGUAAGUCGGGUGUGAAAUCUUGGAGCUUAACUCCGAAACUGCAUUCGAUACUGCCGUGCUUGAGGACUGGAGAGGAGACUGGAAUUUACGGUGUAGCGGUGAAAUGCGCAGAUAUCAGGAGGAACACCAGCGGCGAAGGCGGCGCUCUGGGCCGGUACUGACACUGAGGAGCGAAAGCGUGGGUAGCAAACAGG
rnacentral:rRNA from 1 species